CCUACGGGUGGCUGCAGUGAGGAAUAUUGGUCAAUGGGCGAUAGCCUGAACCAGCCAAGUCGCGUGAGGGAGUACUGCCCUAUGGGUUGUAAACCUCUUUUGUCGGGGAGCAAAAGCCGGACGUUUCCGUCUGUGAGAGUACCCGAAGAAAAAGCAUCGGCUAACUCCGUCCCAGCAGCCGCGGUAAUACGGAGGAUGCGAGCGUUAUCCGGUUUUAUUGGGUUUAAAGGGUGCGCAGGCGGAUUUUUAAGUAAGCGGUAAAAUCGUGGGGCUCAACCCCAUCCAGCCGUUGAAACUGGGGAUCUAGAGUGUGCGAGAGGUAUGCGGAAUGCGUGGUGUAGCGGUGAAAUGCAUAGAUAUCACGAAGAACCCCGAUUGCGAAGGCAGCAUACCGGUGCACAACUGACGCUCAGGCACGAAAGCGUGGGUAUCGAACAGGAUUAGAUACCCGGGUAGUC
rnacentral:rRNA from 1 species